CAAAAAUAUAUUUAUUAAUCAGCUUGCCCUUAAACAUGUCCAUAUGAGGUAUUGGACUACUACUCAACUUCAUAGAAAUUAAUUCCAGAUCUGCUUCUCUCUGCUGUGAAUUUUAUGUACCAACUUAAUCCAGCGUUGCUGAAUUAAUUAUACUUCAUACAUUAUAAAGGAACAAACUUAUUAAAUAUAUAUAUAUUCAAAAAAGAAAAAGUACAUACAAUUAAAAGAAACCCUUUCCAAUCUCAUUUAAAAUAAAUUGUGUUCUCCGAGUUUAGGCCUUGACCUACUAAGUAAUUAACUAUAUUCUAGUGGGUUUGCACCGAAAUUCUGUGCUAUACUACUUAAUCUGUAGCACUGGAAAAGAUUUGUCAAGCUUCAGGUUGGCCCAUUUGGUAUAGGUGGUAGUACCCAGAAAGAACUACUCUCAUGAACAAUGAGAAUGGCAGAAUCCGGCCCUGCAUAAUCAAACCCAGCCAUAUUAAUGUCAACCUCAAUAACCAACAAGCAGCUAGGGGGAAAAUCAAUGCUAGACGAGAAAGGACAAAACUGGUCAGGAAAGAAAAUUUAUUGGAAAAGCUUCUACGAGGGAACUGCAGACAAAGAAGAAUAAAAAUAGUCCUCGUCUCCUUUUCGGGCUCCAAUAUGCAGCAUGAAGUGCAUUGCUAAGUGCAUAAACAGCUUCUUGGUUACUGUUGUUAAAAAUAAAAAUAUGUCAAGAAGCUUUCUGAUGUACUUCUUUUCUUUCUGCUGCAGAAGAGAUGCCUGGCUUUUGUGAGCAAGUGGAACAACAAAAAAACCCCACCUCCUUCUGCCUUUGCUCUGGGUAAAGGAAGAACCAAAGGGGCCUGUAUUUGGGCAAGCAGAGUACCUCUCAAAAGGUGCUGAAAAUUGCUGUGUGCAGAAGAAGAGCACUCAGGAUCAGACCUCCAAUGAACUAUCUGUGCUCUUCGAGGUGACUGGCAAAGUCAAGCCUUAAGAGCCUCAGAAGAGACUCUUGAUAGCUGAAGAACGAAAGUGAUGACAUCAGCCAGCUAAGGAGUGAAUAGGGAACGCAGGGGUUGCAUAUUUUAAGAGUAAUCAUUAAAAUGGUUCGUAGUUAUUCAUAUGCCACAAAAAGAGUUUCACUCUGCCUGCCUUUGGGAGAAGGGCCAUAAUGCAUGCAAAAGAUCCUAGCUUCAAUCCCCAUCUCCAGGUAGUGAUGGUAAGGAAUCAUUGAGAAUAGUCCUGUAGGUCUGCUUUACCUGUGGAAGGUCCCAGCUCCAGGCAGGGCUGGAAGAGAAUCCUGUCUGAAAUCAUGGAAAGCCACCGCCAGCCGGUGUCAAUGGACCAGUGGUAGGACUCUAAGGCAGCUUCCUACAUUGCUAUAUACUGAAGAGCCACUGGCAGUGAGCGAAGAUAAUACUUAGAUAGACUGACAUAGUAUAAGGCAGGCUACUGUGUUCCCAUAUGCCACUGGGUGUGUUUUUUUAAAAAAAUAAGCCACGACAUCCUGAGAUGCUAAUGCAAGGAAACAGGUGUUGGUUGGGCUGGUAAACAACAAAACCCAGCCCACCCUCAUAAAACAAUUGUGCUGCUAGUAUAACUGGAUGUGGACAGUGAGGAUGAUCCCCCAAGUGACAAACAAGAAAAUGUAUGCCAUAGCUCCUGCAUUCUAAAAAUGGGCAGGUGUACAUUUAUUCUCUUUAGCAGAAUUUCUAGAAAACUGUUUUGUAACAUUCAGGGGGCAGGGAUAUGGAUGCGAACUGGGCAUUUCUUGCCAGUACUAAAAUAAGCAGCAUGAUUCAGUCCCAAAUCAAUUACUGUCAACCAAAUAAACAAUAGAAUUGUAGAGUUGGAAGGGACCACGAGGGGCAUCAAGUCCAACCCGCUUCAAUCCAGGCAUCCUUUGCCCAGUGUAUGGCUAUCAGUCAUUAAGAAAGACUGGGUUAGAUCUUCCAGAAUUUACUCCAAGCAUUC
rnacentral:lncRNA from 1 species